UACGUAGGUGGCAAGCGUUGUCCGGAAUUAUUGGGCGUAAAGCGCGCGCAGGCGGUUUCUUAAGUCUGAUGUGAAAGCCCACGGCUUAACCGUGGAAGGUCAUUGGAAACUGGGAGACUUGAGUGCAGAAGAGAAGAGCGGAAUUCCACGUGUAGCGGUGAAAUGCGUAGAGAUGUGGAGGAACACCAGUGGCGAAGCGGACGUCUUUGGUCGUGUAACUGACGCUGGAGGCGCGAAAGCGUGGGGAUCAAACAGG
rnacentral:rRNA from 1 species